UAGCCUUCGAAGCCCACGGUAUGGGCCAG
rnacentral:sRNA from 1 species